CUUCCAUGAGGCAUACACAAGGAAUUCUGGCAGUUUACAAAAGUACUGAGAGGAAAACUGACACCCUCUGUCAAAGAAAAGGCACAGGAGUGCUGGAGCCUAUCCCACCUUGCUUCCUGCAAGAGGUGGGUUACACCCUGGAAUGGUCGCCAGCCAAUCACAGCCACAUUCAAGGGUGUACCCCGCCUGUCGCCCGAAGUCAGCUGGGAUAGGCUCCAGCAUGCCCCCGCGACCCUAAUGAGGAUG